GAUGAACGCUGACAGAAUGCUUAACACAUGCAAGUCAACUUGAACUUCGGUUUGGGUGGCGGACGGGUGAGUAACGCGUAAAGAACUUGCCUCACAGCUAGGGACAACAUUUGGAAACGAAUGCUAAUACCUGAUAUUAUGAUUAUAUGGCAUCGUAUAAUUAUGAAAGCUAUAUGCGCUGUGAGAGAGCUUUGCGUCCCAUUAGCUAGUUGGAGAGGUAACAGCUCACCAAGGCGAUGAUGGGUAGCCGGCCUGAGAGGGUGAUCGGCCACAAGGGGACUGAGGCACGACCCUUGCGGCUACGGGGGGCAGCAGUGGAAAAUUUAGGAAGAAGUGCCGAGAGUGUGAAGCAGCAAUUCUGGGUGCACGAUAAAGUUUUUCGGAAUGAAAAGUUCUUUCAGUUGAGAAGAAGAAAAUGACGGUACCAACAGAAGAAGUGACGGCUAAAUACGUG
rnacentral:rRNA from 1 species